GGGCCCUACGGAGUUACACUCCAACCCAAUGUGAACGUUACCAAACUGUUGCCUCGGCGGGAUCUCUGCCCCGGGUGCGUCGCAGCCCCGGACCAAGGCGCCCGCCGGAGGACCAACCAAAACUCUUAUUGUAUACCCCCUCGCGGGUUUUUUACUAUCUGAGCCAUCUCGGCGCCCCUCGUGGGCGUUUCGAAAAUGAAUCAAAACUUUCAACAACGGAUCUCUUGGUUCUGGCAUCGAUGAAGAACGCAGCGAAAUGCGAUAAGUAAUGUGAAUUGCAGAAUUCAGUGAAUCAUCGAAUCUUUGAACGCACAUUGCGCCCGCCAGUAUUCUGGCGGGCAUGCCUGUCCGAGCGUCAUUUCAACCCUCGAACCCCUCCGGGGGGUCGGCGUUGGGGAUCGGCCCUUUACGGGGCCGGCCCCGAAAUACAGUGGCGGUCUCGCCGCAGCCUCUCCUGCGCAGUAGUUUGCACACUCGCAUCGGGAGCGCGGCGCGUCCACAGCCGUUAAACACCCCAAACUUCUGAAAUGUUGACCUCGGAUCAGGUAGGAAUACCCGCUGAACUUAAGCAUAUCAAUAAGCGGAGGAA
rnacentral:rRNA from 1 species